rnacentral:rRNA from 1 species
AGAGUUUGAUCAUGGCUCAGAUUGAACGCUGGCGGAAUGCUUACACAUGCAAGUCGAACGGCAGCACGGGGCAACCUGGUGGCGAGUGGCGAACGGGUGAGUAAUACAUCGGAACGUGCCCAAUCGUGGGGAUAACGUAGCGAAAGUUACGCUAAUACCGCAUACGAUCUACGGAUGAAAGCGGGGAUCGCAAGACCUCGCGCGAAUGGAGCGGCCGAUGUCAGAUUAGGUAGUUGGUGGGGUAAAGGCUCACCAAGCCAACGAUCUGUAGCUGGUCUGAGAGGACGACCAGCCACACUGGAACCGAGACACGGUCCAGACUCCUACGGGAGGCAGCAGUGGGGAAUUUUGGACAAUGGGCGCAAGCCUGAUCCAGCCAUUCCGCGUGCAGGAUGAAGGCCUUCGGGUUGUAAACUGCUUUUGUACGGAACGAAACGGUCUGCCCUAAUACGGUGGGCUAAUGACGGUACCGUAAGAACAAGCACCGGCUAACUACGUG